GAACUAAAAUCAGGGGUGGAUAAUUACUGCAAACCUUGGAACCUGUAAAUAACUCCAGAGAAGCACCACUCACUGAAAUGAAUUACAUGUGCUGGUUCAGACAGGAUUCAAGAGGCCCAGGAGACAAAGAGCAAGCUGGGGGUAUAAAGGACUAACUUGAACUGACUCCCCCUCCCAGUUUGAGGCAGCCAAUGGACAUGAACCUUUUCCCAGGGUGGGAAAGGCACAAACCCUGCUGAAGUGGUUGAAAGGCUGUGACCUAUCAGACCCUGAUGUGGAAGAUAAGAAACUUCUGGGACAUUUCUGAAAUCAUUGACCAGAAAUGAAAAUCUACUAUGUCCAGAUGACAUCUCUACUUCUACAUGCCCUUCAUGCUAAAUAACUGUGUAAAGGGGGAUAUGGAGCCUAUGUAUGGAAGAUGAGGGAGAAGGAAGAAGAGUAUUUAUGACGAGAGAUUAGUGAAUACAAACCUCAAGAAAAGUAGCAGGUUGUCUCUGCAGUCCAUAUCAACAAGAGAAAGAAAAUGAGGUGGAAAAGAGAACCUGCCAGGGUGAAGUAUAUACCAAUUUAGAAGGUGGUCAGCUGAAGAAAACCCCACCUCCCUUCACUUAUGUGCUCUGACUGAGGAGAAUUCCGGCCCCUCGUCUCUUUCUCCCACCGAUGUCUGUCAGGAGAUACUCCAUUCAGAGACUUUGACUCGCACAGCAGCUGCAUCUCGGGUUUCAGCCUGCAACCUCAACAUGACGUUCCAGGCCUGCCAAAUAUUGUUGGGAUCUGCAAGAUAAAAAGG